rnacentral:tRNA from 1 species
UGCGGAGUAGCUCAUGUGGAAGAGCAUUCGUCUCAUAAACGGAAGGGUGCGGGUUCGACUCCCGCCUCCGCGACCA